GAUGCUUUGGUGCCUUCGGGAACUCUGAGACAGGUGCUGCAUGGCUGUCGUCAGCUCGUGUUGUGAAAUGUUGGGUUAAGUCCCGCAACGAGCGCAACCCUUAUCCUUUGUUGCCAGCGGUUCGGCCGGGAACUCAAAGGAGACUGCCAGUGAUAAACUGGAGGAAGGUGGGGAUGACGUCAAGUCAUCAUGGCCCUUACGAGUAGGGCUACACACGUGCUACAAUGGCAUAUACAAAGAGAAGCGACCUCGC
rnacentral:rRNA from 1 species